rfam:Echinostoma caproni strain Egypt genome assembly, scaffold: ECPE_scaffold0037729
GGCCUCGUAGCUCAGCAGGUAGAGCAUGCGCGUACAAAGCGUAGGUGGCGUCCGUGCGUGGGUUCAAAUCCCAUUGAGCCUA